UUUAAAAAUGAAAUUUAUAAAUUUAUUUAAUUAUAUAAUAAAAUUAUUAAAUUUUGGUUGUAUUUUUUUUUAUAAAUUUUAUUAUUAAAAAUUUUUAAAUUAUUUAAAAAACUAGGGUUAGAUGCCUAUUAUUCUUAAAAAAUUAAUUUUAAGUAGUAAAUGGAAAAUCAUGAAACUUAAAUAACAUGGCAGUAUUUUACUCCCUGCAGAGGAAUUUGAAUAUAAUUGAUAAUCCUCUUUAUAUUUUUUUUAAGUUUUUUUAAUGUGUGGUUGUUUAAAUAAAUAAAAAAUUAUAAAUUAUAAAUCAGAUAACAUGUUUAAAUAUUUAAAUAUAUUUAAAUUACAAUUUUUUUUAUUAAAGAAUUUGCAUGUAAUAUUUUUUUAAAAAAAUAUAUGAUGGUGUUAUAAAAUAUGUUCAUAUUGUCCGUCACUCUCAGUAAU
rnacentral:rRNA from 1 species